AAACUUUCAACAACGGAUCUCUUGGAUUCUGGCAUCGAUGAAGAACGCAGCGAAAUGCGAUAAGUAAUGUGAAUUGCAGAAUUCAGUGAAUCAUCGAAUCUUUGAACGCACAUUGCGCCCUCUGGUAUUCCGGGGGGCAUGCCUGUUCGAGCGUCAUU
rnacentral:rRNA from 1 species